GGGCCGAGGCUGACUUGGACACUGCAAACAGUGGUCCCACUCCAGCAUGAGUGGGAGGCUCUUGGUCACAGUAAACAUUCUUCCCUCUGCACUUGGAGGCAGCUCUGAGAUCACAUCUGCAAAUCAUUCAGAUAAGUGACUUUGGUUCCACAUAAAAUAAUGUCUUACAACUGUCCAGUUCUGGAAUUUGUAUGUGCUUAGUGUGAUAAAUGUUAUAUGAUCUUAUAUAUAUACACACACACACCAGGCAAAGGAUAAUCAUUGGGUCAAUGAAAAAUGAUAGUGAGGAAUAGAUAUUGGAUAAUAGCAAACAGAACAUCUGUUGAGCAGCUCAUUUGUAGUUGUCUGCAGAAAGGAAAGGGAGGGUGAGAGUCUCCCAUGUGUUAGAGUUAACAGUAGUAUCAGCUACAAAAACCUCUACAUGCACUAAAAUCAAACAGAGCCUGAAGUCCAGAUAAUCUAAGUUUUUAGGAAAGGCACAUCUGCAAUCCUUUCACUGACAUAUUCUAGAUCACAAGAGUCAAGAGAUUCCUGGACAUUAAGAAGUAGCAGAUUUGAAUCUCGCAUUUUAAAGAGGGUAGAGGACAGGAAACUAUAAACUAGCAAAUGGAACAUUGUUUGUUUAUAAACCUGGACACUGCUUAAGUGAUCUGGCUAAAGAACACCUGGAAGGGUUCACUCUGAUUAAGGAAAGCUAGAAUGGUUUAUAACUCAUUUAGUUGUUUUAGGUCUUUAGAGCUACUACAACCAUUGAGUUCUUUAUAGGUAUAAUGACUGAAAGAUACAUUCAUUUGUACCAUAAUAAUGAGAUCAUGAGAUCAUGGUUAGUGUGAAGCAACAGCACAUACUAUGGGGUUUUGAUGUUCCAGCUGAAGUUUCUGUGAAGCUGCAGGAAAAUUUAAGUGCUAGACAGAGGCCACUGUUUUCAGUGGUAGGAAAGAGGUUGAAAACCAAAGGUUGUUAGAAAACCUUUUUUCUAUGGAUUUUUUUUUUAUUCCCUUUUUAAAAAUUCCAUUUUUGUGAACACUAGGGAGCAUUAUAUUAAUUUUUUAAAAAAUAAGUAUUUUAUUCUUCUCUAGUAUUUUUUUACAGCAACAGAAUGAAUCCUAGUAUCUUGCAGGCAGAGCAAAACUUACUUCAGUGUCAAAAUCUGCUGAGAUGGCAACAAAUCCCCUUCCAACCAGAACUGAGAAUUUGGGACAGGGAUAUAUUCACAGUGAACAUUCCUGUGCCCCAUGCAGGCCUUCUGGAAAGCCAUUUGUACAUUUGGUAUUGCUCUCAAGAGUGCAGAGUAUAACAGCUGCACUGGGAACAGGUAUUUCUUCACCUAUUCUGCUUGCUGAGGUGAGGUUUUCUUCCAAGCUUUACUAUCUCUGGCAGAGGCCAUGUUUCAGUGGGACUCUACUCUUACAGACUUUCCCCCAUCUCUCCUGAGAGUUGAUCUCCAGCUGUAUCUCAUUCAAGUUAAUAAUUAGUGCAUUAGGGAGAUGUCCCAUUCCACCAUUCUGGCAGGACAUCAGUUUUGCUUCCUCCACCAACCCCAGCCCAUUGGAAACAGUGGAGGUUGUGUCUGGGCAAAGCAGACCUGUCAGGAGAAGCUGCUGUGCUGGUGCAUCACAGGUGCACAUACAGUCAGCCCUAAAAGAUACUGUGUUCAAGGAGCAAACAGCAAAUCAGAUUAACAAAUAGGAUUUCUGGAUACUUCCCACCUUCUAGCAACCCAAUUAAACAGGGCUGGCUGCCAAUAAAGAAGGAAAACAAUUCAUUAUAAUGUAUAUUGGAUUCUACUGGAAAAAUUGCUUACUGCUCAGCAUUGUCAUAAACUUAGCAAUAGAUUUUCAUAAGGUUAUCAUUUUCUCAAACUAAGGGCCAAACUCAUCCCAAAUGUAACUUCCUUAGUGCCAAUACAGACACAUUUGGCCCCAUGAUUUUAGAAUCUCUGUAUGCUGGGACUCCUGUCCACGUCCCUGUGCCAAACUAUAAAAAGGCCAGUAUCUUGGAGUCACCUAUCAGUUCUUCCCUAACUGUUCUUCAGCAAAGACUAUUUAAAAUUAAACAACUCAAGGUCAUGUACCUCUCUGGACCAGGAGCUCUACAGCUGAGUAAUUUUUCUGUUACGGCAUGAGGCAGGUACAGCAUGUAGCUGAGAGGAGGAUGUGCAGCCCCAUACUGUAUUCCCCCAGGACUAAAGCAUGGCCAAAUCACAGGCAGAUUGUGUGACAAUUCACUUCAAAUACUUCAGAUGUGGUUACUACAGUUGUUCUAGGAGUAGAAAGAUCAAAUAGAUCUUCCUAAGACAGGAAGAUUGAUUAAGACUUAGAAAGCAGAACUGUCAUGAAGGCAGUCAAGAAUAUGGAGCACCAAAUGUUCCCAGAACUCUCCUUAUUGAUAAUUUACUAUAUUAAAUUUUAAUAGUGUAUCUUUUAGGCAUUGUAUAAAUGGAAGGAAACCUAAUUUGUGUGCCCAGAAGACUUUUACAAGUACAAUGAUGUCUCUGACAUUGCUUGCUAGUCUGAGUAUUCCCAGGCUACCCAAGGUUUCGUUCAGGUACUUGCCAUUGAAAAGUGUUGCUAACUCUUUAGGAAGAGUUAAAUUUCUGAAGCCAGAAAGUCUGCACUCCGUACAGGCCUCAGUACACUCGGUACCCAGCAUUCCUCCUAAUAAAGGUUUGAAUGGUUUAUUAAAAAUACCACUGAUCAAGUUUUUCUAUCCAUAAUUCAGACAUGCUUUUCAACACUCUAUUGUGCUUAGGUGUUACCAGUGAUGAGAAUAACUUUAUUGUUAGUCAAUGGUCACACUGAGCAGCAAAACCAGGAAGCAUUUCCUCAAUUUCUCUUCUGAGGCAGUUAAAUAUCUCCACACAGUCUUUAAUGACAGUGUUACACUCAAAUAAAUGGCAUUUAUUCACUUCAUUAGAAUAUUUUUGUGUAUCAGAACACAGAACCAAGCUCAUAUUUGGAUUUCAUUUCAUUUCAAAAUAUUGGUCUUUCCUUUAAAAUGGAAAAUUUAUUCCUUUCCAGAAUUUGUACCCAAACAAUAAAUUGUUUUUAUCUGUUGCACAAAGUGUUACAUUACACUCUGCACUCUCAUUUUUGUGUUACUGCUCUGGGCCCUGAGUGAGUUAAAGUGCUUAAAAUUAGGCUAUUUUGUGAGGUGAGAGCCUCAGGCCUCACAGAACUACUGAGGAGACAUAUAAGGGCUGUUUCUCUUUUAAAGAAAGGUGAAUGAGUGAUGCUGAGGGUGUUUAGUGUCAUGAAAUUGCUUAGGGCUUAUUUAUUCUUGGACAGGAAAUUUUUGUGGUUAAUUUUGAAGCCUUAAAGUUAAGGAGGAAAAAGCAAUGACUUUUGUAAGGGGGAAAUGUACACAUUUAUUUUGGAUUUGAGGGUUUUUUUUCUGUUCUUAAGUCCAACAUCUGAAGCUGGAAAUGUCAAGCAGUUUGUGGAGUGGUUUAGAGUGGUUAGUGGUUCCUGUGCACUGUCAUGGCUGGUGACAGACCCAUGAUGGUGGGAGCUCUGUCCAUCAGAGGAGGUUUUCUGUAGUUGUUUACAAUGCUAAACAGGUUGGUGGCUCACCUGGUCUUAGGGGCCUCAGCAGCCUUAGGAAUUGUGAAGACUUCCUAUGUGCCAAGGGUACUAUGAUCUGUUGCCACCUCCUCUAAAUCCCUUAGUCCUGAAUUCUUAACAAACAUUUCUGGAUCAGACUAUCCUUGUUCCAGCUUUGAAACUUAUUGGUUAAGGCAAGGAAAGGGACAGAGAGGGCUAAGGCGCAGACAGUCCCCUCCAGGCAGUGACACCCCUCUUGAGUUGUCUCUUCCCUUUGGAGAUAGGGCAUGGAUGGGGCUGGUUUGUCCUGUGAAAUUUGCUUCUCCAUGAGCUUUGGAACAACACAUUCCUGGAGAGCAGUGUGCCAAUGAUUACUUUGCAAGGGAGCAAAUAGUCAUAUUUUCUCAUUUCCUUCUUUUUUGCAGUGGCAGAGUGGGAACACCCCUAAGACAUACAUGUCCAUGGCGCUUCUUACGAGUUUUAGCACUGGAGGGUGUCCGUAUUGGUGCCAGGGCUUUACCCCUCUCCUACACAUUAUCACAAGACAGCAUCUUAAGGGGCAUUUCCGCUGUCCUUGCAUUCUGCACCAGAGGGGAUUCAGUUAUGUUACAUUUCAUCCAUGAUUUGUAAUUUUUGCCUCUAUCCACUUUUUCCCUCCUCCUGAUUCGUCAUUUUAUUUUUUGUGGUCUUCUCAAAUGGUCCUUGUUUAAAUGUUGAGGCUGUUUUCAUAUUAGUGUGUUAAUAUUUUCAACAUCUGUGUAUUUUGCUGCAGAACACUCCAAAUUACCUGGCAAAAGAAACAGCAACAUUUAUAAAUAUAGCCAUUACUUAAAUUAUUCUGAUUUUUAGCUUACAACGUAUUUUUAUGUGACUCAAGAGAUUAAAACAAAAAAUAUUCCAGGCCACACUUAAUGAAAUAAGUAUUACUUUGUUUAACUAAAUUAUCAGCAAGAAAGUCUGGUCUUGGCUCCCUUCAAGCUGACUUUUAUAUUUAUCAUCAGAGACUUCCAAAAUUUCAGCCUACUUUUUUUUCAGGUAAUGACACUGCAAUAUCCUGGCUUUCAGACUACACAAGAAUGUAGUAAGACAUUGGUUUUCCCUUUUGAACUUAGGUGAUUUUAAUUACAGGAGGUUUUACAGAGAAGAUAGCUUCUUUAUGAUUUGGAUCCAGAUUGCUGAUUGUAUAAAAUACUUCUAUACUUCUGUAAAAUACUUCCCUUUCCCUAAAUCCUUUUCCUAGUGUAGCUUUCACCUCUCAGCUCAGGCUGUUCUGGUGCAGCAAACACUCUCUUCGAUGAUGUGCUGCCAGUGCAUUUCCCUUCUAUCCAAAAUACGCUGGAUCCAGCCCUAUAUUUGCAAUGGAGUUCAAGGAGUGAAGAAAUAAUCAAGCUUCUAAAUUUCUGAGUUUAUAAUGGAACAAAAGUAUUUUCAGAUUCUUAUUCUAGUUCUUUUGUUAGUGCUGGAAAAAUGUGCAAUGAUACAGCAGGAAGUGUCAUGUACCCAUGCAACUCAUUUUAGCAGUACAGAUUCUCAGAGCAGCCAUGCACUUUAAUAGAGAAAUAAUGGGGAAAAGGAAAUAGCAUUCAAUUAAGAGUAGCUCAUUCAUGUUAUGCCAAUUUUGCAAUGAAUUUUGUGUUGUGUAUCCAUAGAUUUAUGUUCCUAAAAGCCCAAUGUUAUGUUAUAUAUGAGAACUACAUUUUUGUUUGGGUCUUAGCGCAAGCCACGUAACACUCAAGUGAAGAAAUGUUUUCAGUUCACCUGUUGCUCUCAUAUUCUGUUGGAUUUUUUUGUCCAUAAGGGAGUAAAAAGGCUAUUGCAAUGAUGGUGUCAAAAAACAAAAGAGAACAAAUUUAACAGAAACAUCUGAGUUAAUGUUGUUAUGCUGCUGUGUGCCUCUGAAUCCCUGACUGCAAUAGGAGUAUUCUGCUGGAGUCCCAGGUUGCCACUGGCACAUGCUUUCUAUAUCAUUCUCUUUUUCAUUCUUUGUCAUCGAUUUUUCCAUGCCUAGUAGAAAAUAAUAGACAUUUCUUUGGCACCACAUCUAGCUGUAUCUUUUAAAGGACUUGGUACAUGCAAACUCACUCUUCUACUUAUUGCCUGAGCCUUUCCCAUUUGGACUUAGAGCUAUUUCUCAGAAAAGGCUUUUACAGUUUCGAAAACUCUCUUUUGUGCUUUCCAUUCAGGUUUUCUUCUAUAGACUUGACUUUCUAAGAGACCAAUUAUUAGCAUUCUUUAAAAAAUAUUCUUGUGAAUGAGAGAAUGAUAAGAAUGCUAUUAAAAUCUCCUAAGGUGAGAAAAAUGUGGCCCCCACUGAAAACUGUAUUACAUAGCACCUGUAGGAGAAAAGGUGGAAAUUUUGGUAGUUUCCCACAUGAUCUCACUGAACUACAGUUUUGGAGGUAGAAGAGUAUUGAAUUUUAUGUUAAAUGUUGUCCAUAGCCUAUUUUUUUUUCUACACUUGGGCAUAUUUUUCUAAGAAAGAUAUUUGUUCCUUAGACCUUUUGCAGUGAUUUGUGAGAGAUAUUUCAGAAAGGAAAGAUGAGUUGAUGGCAGUUAGACUUUUUCUUUUGGCACUAUUCUAUGAAAAGCCACAAUGCUUAGAGUGACCUCAAUGUUGGCUGUUCUCAUAUACCUGACACAAUUUUCUGCUCAGUGAGUGAGACUUGACCACAUCUGCAACUUCCUUAACAGCAGGUUACAAAUAAAGUAAGUUAUUGAACUGAAACUAGAGCUGGGAUUGUUCUGCAAACACCCUGGGAAGCUAUAGGUGCUGGUAAGCCAACUGGGAACAUUAUCAGGGACAGAAUGCUACUUUAGCUCCAACCCCAUGAAUUAUUUUAUGGUGGCAGGAGGUCUCUGGGAGUGUUUAUGUUUGCUGCCUGAUGUCCCUGUGUUUCAUUUUUUAUUAAGUGUGAUAGAUAGUGUGUUUUUACCUAGCAGCACUUGCAGGACAGCUUCCCUUUAGAUAAGGAAUUAGUAAGCCAGAGAGCAGUGGCCAUCCUUUGUGAGCUGCAGGAAGGAGGGCUUGGGGUGAAAGACUCCACCAUGUAUUUUCAAGGACUAGAAUUAGUUGAUACAAGAGAAAAUAAAUAAUUUGGACAAAAGAGCAGGGUUCUAUAGUCUAUUGGUAACAUAUGAGCACUCAGAUUUGAAAAUGUUCCUGUGCCCAGACUGUUAAGUCUUUUACCAGUGUGAGCUAUGGCUGUGUGCCCUAUCAGCCCUCUUCUUCCUGUCACAGAGAAUGUUUAUUAUAGGAAGGAAAACUGAAGUCUAUAUCGGAGCACCCAGCCAAUUCCACUGUCAGGAUCCAUAUCCUCCACACAUCCAUCUCUCUUGGUCUGUCUUUGGCUCCUACUGUAGGUACUAAACCCAAGCUCCUCUCAUACAGCCCUUAGGCUUCUUAUGUCAAAGAACCUUUCACAAAUUUGGCAGUGCUUUAGCCCAGGCAGGAGCAAGGUCUGUCUGAGAAGCCUUGUGCUCCUAGUAGCCCAUGGUCUUGUUCCCCAGCUUCCCACAGGUCAUAAUGCUGUCAUGAAGGGCUAUGGUUCUUUUUACAGACCUGUCUAAAUCACCUGUAAAGCUGUCUACCAAAUAUUAAAAAAAAAUUAAGUAGUAGAAAGAAUCACUGAUUUUUGAAGAAAAAAAAAUGAAAUCUGCAACAUGAAUAUGCGCCACUAAAUGUACAGUCUCUGCAGUUGUGCAUUGUAGUAAAAAAAUAGAAUGGAAAGUUCUGAAUUUUUUUUUCAAGAGAAAUAUCUAAUAAAGAGCUCACUAUGGAAACAGCAUGUAAUAAUUAUAUGACUGAAAUAUAUUAGAUAAGCAAUAAGGACUCAGAAAAAAUUUUAACUACAUAGGAAAUUACAGCUUCUCUUUUACAGUCACUCUAUGUGCUGAAAAGUCAUAGCUUAUUCUGUAAGAUGUGAGUCAAGAAAUGACAGGAUUUAAAAUAGCUUUUUAAUUAAUGUUUUUAUUUAAAUACAGAAUAACAUUAACAUUGAAUUUUUUACGUUUACAGUGAUGCUAUUAUGACUGGGAGAUGUUAAAUUUAACACAGACAAACCACAUCCUGCAGAGAUGGUAUUUCAUUUUAUGACAUUCACCUGAUAGCUUGCAAUCCUCAGUGUGGAGUUCUUUCAGCACUAUUAAAAUGCCAGCUCCUGAAACUGAGUGGCCAAAAACCCCACACAAAAUCACACCCAUGAUCUCUCACAGCUCAUUUCUCACUCUCUUACUGUAAGCCCUCAGGGUUUGAAAAUGAAACAACUUUCAAGCCUUAAAAGUGAAAUUCACUUCACCUGCAUGAAAUCAUAGUAAUCAAAUUUUUAUGGGUAGAGAAUGGCAGGGGAGAGGGGAGGAAAAAUUUACACUACAGAAGUGUGGGGUCAAGUCAGGAGGUCCUAAAAAGUCCUCCCUUCUUUCUUCUCUUGCAGCUGCUCCUUUUUCUGGCAUAUUGACAAUAUCAGCAGCUGCAAUUCUUCACAUGCACAAAUAGCUGCAGACUGCCUAAACCAGAAGCUCUUUCUCCAGCCCACUGCAGCCUCUGUCUCUUUCCUGUCCCCUUUGGUUCCCAUCUAUUCAUCUUUAUCUCGAGACUUGUUUGGUGUUAGCUGCCUGAUCAUUUGAACCAUUUUGGUUCAAUACAGAGUUUCUGAAGGCAGGAAGAGCUUUUCCGAUUAAUUAGAGAUUUAAACUCAAUGUGGGUCCCUGAUAACAAGCAGAAUGAGAUCAAGUGGCAAGGUGACUGUAACUGGAAAAUCUGUGACUGGUGCUUGACAAAAUUGUUGAGGUUCACCAGCAGUGGUAAAGGCAAACCCAGAUUAUCUAAAUUUAAAUCUAAACUACUUCAAUACAGUGCAUUAAUGCAGAUCUCCUGCAGCAGUAGCAUGAAAACUGGACAUUUAGAGGAUGUAUGCCAGAGGUGCUAUCAGAAAUUAACUCAAAUAAGUAGAGGUUGGUCUAUGGAUAUAAAAAUGCAAUGUCCUUAUAGAAGGUAUCAUUAGAUGAAAUUGACUGUUGCCAUCACAAUACUUGACAAGGGUCAAGUAUUGCAAAUACUGUAACUAACAUACAGAGAUACUUUUUAUCCAUCUGCAAAUACAUAACUUUCAAAUAAGUACAAAGUCUGAGAGUUGUCAGAGCUAUAAAUGCUACAGAAUAGAAAUGCUACAGAAUAAAAAUUGCAGCAAAACUAAACAAGAAGCUAAAUUAUAUGUGCAUUAAUCUGAUUUUAGAAUAUUCCCUAGAUGAUAGAGUGUUAGAUAAGAUUUACAAAGGCUGAAAAUGAUCCCGAAAUUGCAUAGAAAUAAAUUUCAACUAUUAGGAUGGGAAGGAUUGUACUGGAUUAUCAUUCUGGUUUAUUGGGGUUGUAGUUCCUGAAUUGUUGUAGAAAACUUUUCUAUGAAGAAUAUAUGAAUGUAAUCAGCUAGAAGUAUAAACAAGCUGUAAGUAUUGUUUUAUAAUAGCAGAUGAACAGUGAUAUUAGGGAAGCACUGUUAAGAAUAUACCAAAAUUCAGGCCAAAUGAAGCAACAACUUCCAUGAUGUGAUACAGGAAAAUUGCCCUCUGGGAACAAAGUAGCUGUAGAUUUGUGUAUGUUGGCUGGAAAAAAAGGCUCUUCAACAUUUCCUAGACUAUUAUUCUUACCUCUCUGAGGUGGCCUUGUUUAAAGAAGCUAUAGGUGAUUGUGUAUACCCAGUUUGAUUUUGCUACAUAUUUACUUGAACACAGCUGUAGGGCACAGGAGUCCCCUACAUUUCAAGUGCUUUAUAAAGAAACAGACUUUUAAAUGCAUCUUGUUAUUUACAUAUGAUAAGUUUUGGGAGACAUGAUGUCUGAAUUAUAAAAUAUCCGUGGAAACAGUUGUUGAGUCAUACACUGAUCACUGUUUAGCCCUUUGAAGAUAGAAAAACAUGACAGACAGUUCUGUGAGUGCUGUCAUGGGACAGUGGUUUCCUUCUAAUCACUAACAUUACUUUUUAGGUGUUUUGGUCUAGACAAUGCACUUGCCAGGCCAGGAACUGGUGUUUCUGGUGUUCCUUCUAGUUGUGCAAGGAGGUCAGGGAUGAAGGAUGAGGAAGACAGUAUCAUCCCUAAAGCCACAGAAAUACACACCCUGGCAUUGUCUGUGGUAAAAACUGAGAAUUUGACACGGUGGUGUUUCCAGAUCUGUGCUUUGUUUGUGUACACUCAUGCUGACUUUUAACUGAUAUCCUGAGAAAACUACCAAUGAAACUAUUGUUUUCAAGUCUCAACCAAAUGUUUGGUUUAGAUUUUAGAAUUCAGAAUUUACUUUUUUUUUCCAUGUUUUUUUUCCUUCUGUCAUUUUUAAUGAACACUUAGGCCAUUUGACAAAAUCCCUGGUGCCCAAGUUUCAGUUUCACACAGGGUUAGCCACUAACUUGGACACUUAAAUGACUUGCCAUAAUUUGGAGACAUGUUGGUGUGUUUUGAGUAACUAAAGAUUACAUUACAGUAUUCUGCAACUGAUGGUGUUUAUCAUCAAGUUACAGAUAUAAGUAAGAAAAAGUUUGUAGAGAGGAAUUAACUCAAACAUUUUGCACCUAAAUUUCACAAGCAACAUAGAAAUAUCUGUGAAGAUAAAGAAGAGGUUCCAAAUAAUUUCUGAAAAUAGCUUUAAUGCUAAAAUGUCAAUAAGUCAAUAUUUUUAUUGUAUGUUAUCAGUAAGCUUUAAACUAUAAGUUUUCCUACCUGCAAGCUAUGAAAAAAGUGACUAUACAAAACCAGGGUACUGCUGCCUAUUCCAGAAUCUUCAGCACCAAGUACUCAGUCAUGGACCAAAGACUACAAAACUACCAAAGCAGUUAUACAUUUCUUAGUUCUUCCCUGACUACAGUGUUACAGACAGAGUGCAAGGGACCUUCCUCAUUGUUGUGCUGUUCUCAUCACCUGUACCUUAUUAGGGGAAAAAGAUUCCAGCACUAGAUGCCAAUAUAUAGAAAUAAACUUAUCUGUGAAGAUAAAAAAGAGGUUCCAAAUAAUUUAGGAAGUAUUUCCUGCUCUACUUUCUCUGAUACAGCCUGUGUUUCAGAAAGAGUCCUGUAGAAACUUCAACAUCUAGCCUCCAACCUAGCUGGACCCAGUUCAUGGUCAGUCAGUAUAUUAAUUCUUAGAUCUUUUCACAGGUGAAAUUUUGGCUGGUUGGGUUUUUAGAUACUGGAGAGUGAGCUGUUUUUUCUGCUUUUUAUUACAUUCCCAUCUUAAAUCCACCGUUGGAUUCCUAAUAACUUGUCUUCUGCUUUGUCUUGCUACAUAUUUAGGAAAUAAAGAGAAAGGUGUUAUAACACUUUGGUCCCAAAUCUGGUGGUCUCGUUUUCAGGAACCUUCACCAGAACAUACCCACUCUGGUGGCUGCUCUUACCUCCGGAGAAUGGCAGUAUGCCAACUAUCACACGCUGUUUUUCACUGCAGAACCUUAUUGAAGGUUUUAAACCCUGGGCAGGUUGCCUGCAUGGCCCUGCAUGGUUUUCCUUGGCCCACUUGGCAUCCUUUACCCCAGACAGCAUCUUGUGUGCACCACAUGUGGGUUAUAGUGCAGAGCAUGGAUGCUGGUGCAUCUCUACCUUGGCACUCCGAAGGGGUGAGGCAGGCGCCUUGGCAGCACCGCUCUGCAUCUGUCCAUGGGGCACUCAGGGCUCCAUCGUUUCCCAGCAGGUCUGUCAGCUUGGAUCAUGGGCUAUCCUGACUGCUCAGGGCUCUCUUCAAAACAAACUCUGUAUGGGGGUGUCUGAAUGCCUUAGAAUAGCUCAUUUGUUUUUCAGGAACAACUUUUUUUCCCCUAACUGUGUUUUUGCAAGAUUAAAUAAGUGUGAAAUGGGCAUUUAUGUGAUCCCUGUCUAUAAAAGAUGUUAUCUGCCUGCUGAGCUUUCCUCCCCUGUUUGCUAAUGGGAGUCAAGUCCUUCAAUUCAUAGCGCUAAAUUUACUGUAAUUAAUUAUAUCUCUGUUCCAGUGCUGUCCUCAUAAUGGGUAAUAAUUGUUUGCUCUACAUAAACAGAUGUUCUUUCUGUACUGUCCCAGGCAUGCUUAGCCUGGGAUACAAAUAAGCUCACAGAGGUGACUGAAGAAUGCAGAUUAAGUUUUAUAUUGCAGCAAGGAAUCAGAUCAGUACCUGUUAUUUAAUUUUUUUUAGAAACUUUAUUAUUUUUGUAUGGUUUUCACAGACUAAGGAACACAAAUUGCAACAGAAGACAAUUUCACACAACAUAUUGCCGUAUGAAGUGUUCAAUGCCUAUAUUCAAUAGAUACUGUAAAAGAAAGCUUUACAAAACUAUUGCUAUUAGAGGUGUCCAUGUGAAGGAUAAUGGUGGGUGACUUUGUUCCCUGCUUUGUUUUGCAGGGGGAUGGGUGGGAACUGAAUUUGUGUACCACUAAAACUUGUAGGUUCAAUAUCUAGAUAUCUAGGUGUUUAGGACAAUUGCAAAAUCUCUACCUAAACCCUGUUUCUUAGGCUACUAUAACAGUAUAAUAAUUAUACUGUGACUAUAAUUAUAAGUAUAAUCACCUGUUACUGUUAAAGAAACAUACCAGCAUGGCAUGCUCCAAAGCUUAUGGAUGACAGUCUCCAGUCUCCUUUUAACUCCCUGAAAGGCAAAUGAAACCCUCCCUGGAGUCAUGUAGAGCUACUGAUCUCUCUUGGCCAGAGCAAGCCAUGGCUACACCCAUGAUUUGAGCUGUGUAGGGUGAACAGGCUGAUACAGACCAGACUUUGUAAUACACAUUCACGUGUGAAGAUAGUGCAUUGUACUUUUUAUUGCACGUGUAACUUACUUUGUGGUGAGCAGGCCCAGUUAAGAGUAAAGAUCUCCAGAUGCUUUUCCUACCUCAGUUCCCAGUCUGGUAGAUCAGCUUAUAUGUCAGUCAGCUUGUUUCUUUGAUUGUAGAUCAGAGGCCUCAAACCUGACUUCUGGGCAACUGCUGGUAAAAAGUGCUGCACAGAACUAGGUGCUCAUCUAAUUAACAUGGACUAUGACACCUGACUUCAUGAAAUCUACUGGUGAAAAGUCGUAUGCAAAAUUAGGUACUUAUAUAAUUAAUAUUGCUCUUCAUUUUGUACAAAUAAACAUAACUGUUUGUAUUCUAUAUCUUUCAUUGAUUCUCAAUGGUGAAACUUCAGUGUUGUAAACAAAACACUGUAAAUAGAUUCAAAGUUGGUUUCUUUGUCCCUUAACAUGAACUGUAUUUGGUUAAAUGGAAGGAUUUCUGGACUGAAACUUGUGUACUAAAGGUAAGUCUGGAAAACAGUUGUAAAUAUUUUACAACUGAGUUAUGAAUUCUUGAAAAUAUGAUUUUUCCCUGAAGUUUGGCAGGAGACCAUACCCUCCUACUAAUCUGGCUUGCAGGUGAUGCUGGCUUUAUUAAGCUCAAACACUGUAUUUUUUUAAAUUUUUGAGUGGUGUAAUCCUGUAUCUGUAGCUAUAGUUCUUGAGAUUUGGUUAUUCACAGAGACUUCUUUUUCAGUUUUGAAAAUGCAACUUUCAUUUUUAAAACAUGCUAAAAGUAGAAUUUCAAUGUUGCAUUUAGGGAGAAAAUACCAUCUUAAAGGAGAUAUAAAAGAAUUACAAGUAGAAAUUGGUUAGCCUCUCAGGGGAUGUUUCAGCAGGCUUGCUAAGUAUUUUUCUACAUAAAAGACUCUACUGUGGCAUCUUUUCUCUUCUGGUGUUUUGGAGAGACUGGGCAUAAGACUGCUGCAUUAUGGAAAAUGAACACUUUGGAUAUGUUGUUGUCCAACAUUUGAUCAAAUUUUCAACCUGUCUAUAUGGACAUAACCUACAUUUUUUCAGAUACACAUUUUCCUGUUGGUGAACAGUCCUUAGCAAGAACUAAAUAACAAAACUCCUCCUCUGGGAAGCAUGUAAUCUGUGGAGGGCUUCAUUUGGGAGAUGCUUGGAUUAAAAAUGUGCUUAAGUGAUGUAGGCACCCAGGAACCAGGUGACAAAAAAAUUACAGUGAAGUAGGGAGGG